rnacentral:sRNA from 1 species
AUUUUCUUUUAUCAAGUUCUUUGCAAAUCCUUAUUUUCAAAGACAUAAGCUAUUCAUCCAUUGUUCUUCAGAGAUUCAUUCAGUUCUCAAUACAC